rnacentral:rRNA from 1 species
AUGUGUGUCCCAAAAAAUCAAGCAGUAAUGGGUUUAUGUGAUAUUCACUAUUUUAAUUUGGCGAUACUACUAAAACAAGCGUGGCGACUUAUUGAGAAGCCAUAUUCAUUAUGUUCUUUGGUUUUGCGACCCAAAUAUUUCCCUAAUGGUGAUUUGCCGAUCACAAGUUUUUAAGAAGGAUCUUUAUUUACUUGGGCAAAGUAUCAUGGCGAGGCCAAUUCUCUUAAAUAUGUUUACAUAUGGCGUGUUGGGAACGGGUAG